rnacentral:rRNA from 1 species
GUACACUCCUACGGGAGGCAGCAGUGGGGAAUAUUGCACAAUGGGCGCAAGCCUGAUGCAGCCAUGCCGCGUGUAUGAAGAAGGCCUUCGGGUUGUAAAGUACUUUCAGCGGGGAGGAAGGCGAUAAGGUUAAUAACCUUGUUGAUUGACGUUACCCGCAGAAGAAGCACCGGCUAACUCCGUGCCAGCAGCCGCGGUAAUACGGAGGGUGCAAGCGUUAAUCGGAAUUACUGGGCGUAAAGCGCACGCAGGCGGUCUGUCAAGUCGGAUGUGAAAUCCCCGGGCUCAACCUGGGAACUGCAUUCGAAACUGGCAGGCUAGAGUCUUGUAGAGGGGGGUAGAAUUCCAGGUGUAGCGGUGAAAUGCGUAGAGAUCUGGAGGAAUACCGGUGGCGAAGGCGGCCCCCUGGACAAAGACUGACGCUCAGGUGCGAAAGCGUGGGGAGCAAACAGGAUUAGAAACCCUAGUAGUCCCA